UCUAAAUCUAAGCCACUAUGUCUUUGAAGGGUCUCUUGGCUUCGGAUAUGAGUUGAUACGCCAGUCUAGAUAAAAUAAUUCUGUGAUAUAGUUUUCCGAUCUUGUCUACGUGCAGAUGAAAAUCUGGUUGAGUUCCACCGUUUGAUUGUGGCCUUGUUUCUUGAACAACACUGCCAUUAAAGGUCGUGUUUUUUAGUUGCACAGAUAACGUAGUCGCCACGACAGAAACAUUGCCGAGGUGUUGGGUAGGCCGCCGGUCACCAUUCCUACAAUUUUCUUUACACUUACUACACCUACAAAGUGCGUAGAGAUCUCUGCCGCACCCCUCGGAAGCCGCUUGACGAUUGACAACAAAGCAGACGGAGGACUUCCCAAGGUGUUCCCAAAACGCAAACAGUCGGCAUCACUUCUUUUCGGAUCGUGCUUUGAACGCACGAAAUAAAAAGCGAAAUGGGGGCGCUGGUAAGGGCGGCAAUCUACAUCAACUAUCACCGCUUCCUGUCU